rnacentral:tRNA from 1 species
UGCGGGGUAGAGGAGUGGUUGUCCUCGUCAGGCUCAUAACCUGAAGACCGAUGGUUCAAAUCCAUCCUCCGCAA